UAGGGAAUAUUGCAAAAUGGGCGAAAGCCCGAUGCAGCAACGCCGCGUGGGCGAUGAAGGCCUUCGGGUCGUAAAGCCCUUUUUGAGGGGAUGAGGAAGGACAGUACCCUCAGAAUAAGCCUCGGCUAACUACGUGCCAGCAGCCGCGGUAAAACGUAGGAGGCGAGCGUUAUCCGGACUUACUGGGCGUAAAGCGCGUGCAGGCGGAUUGGAGAGUUGGAUGUGAAAGCUCCCGGCUUAACUGGGAGAGGUCGUUCAAUACUUCCAGUCUUGAGUGCAGUAGAGGGAAGUGGAAUUCCGGGUGUGGUGGUGAAAUGCGUAGAUAUCCGGAGGAACACCAGUGGCGAAAGCGGCUUCCUGGACUGUAACUGACGCUCAGAUGCGAAAGCUAGGGUAGCAAACG
rnacentral:rRNA from 1 species